UACGUAGGGGGCAAGCGUUGUCCGGAUUUAUUGGGCGUAAAGAGCUCGUAGGUGGCUUGGCAAGUCGGAUGUGAAACCCCCAGGCUUAACCUGGAGUCGCCAUUCGAUACUGCUAUGGCUAGAGUUUGGUAGGGGACCACGGAAUUCCUGGUGUAGCGGUGAAAUGCGCAGAUAUCAGGAGGAACACCAGCGGCGAAGGCGGUGGUCUGGGCCAAUACUGACGCUGAGGAGCGAAAGCGUGGGGAGCGAACAGGAUUAGAUACCCUCGUAGUCC
rnacentral:rRNA from 1 species